UACGUAGGUGGCAAGCGUUGUCCGGAAUUACUGGGCGUAAAGGGCUCGUAGGUGGCCAACUAAGUCAGACGUGAAAUCCCUCGGCUUAACCGGGGAACUGCGUCUGAUACUGGAUGGCUUGAGUUUGGGAGAGGGACGCGGAAUUCCAGGUGUAGCGGUGAAAUGCGUAGAUAUCGGGAGGAACACCAGUGGCGAAGGCGGUUACCUGGAGCUUUGCUGACGCUGAUGCGCGAAAGCGUGGGGAGCGAGUCCGG
rnacentral:rRNA from 1 species